UAAGUAUACCUCAUUUACGAACAAAAAUAAUUAGGUUUUCUGGAAUUAAAUGGUUUCUCUUUUUCAUUUCAAAUGUUUAUAUUUCGGAUACUGUUUUAUACUAUUAUCAAUAUAUGUUGACCAUCUUACACCUGUUUCUGUAUAUUGGGUACGAGAUGACUUUGGAUAGGUACCAGUUGACCAAAAACAGGUAUAAGUUGACCAAAAUGGGUUUGAGUUCAUCACAGUAUGUGUUGAAAAGUUACCUAACACGUGUCUUCAAACAGACACAUUUAAUGAAGAUUUUUCUUGUAUAGACUUAAAUGGUAGAUCGAUCUUAUUUUUCUUUGCAUCUAUAACGUGUAGCUCAGUGACCCAGUUAAUGUUUACGGUUUGUAACUCAGGGGUCCUGGGUUCGAUCAUCACGUGCGGUGCUGAUUUUUUUCAUGGGAGUUUCCUCUGGCCAGACUGCAGAGCCCUAGCCUAGUACUGGUGAAACCCAGGAAGCAUAAUUAAGUGAAUCUUUGCCUUGGUGUAAGUUAAAUACACGGGCAAAAAACACCAUACAAACAAAAACAUCAAGAGAUAUGAGCUCUUUUAAGGCAGGCAGCAGAUUUGUUGAAUGUCAACACAUGUGACAGGAGUACACAAUACCAGCACCUGCACCAGUUACCUCUGUCAGUAGCACUAGUACUGCAAAGGCAAUUUUUGCACCCGACAGUAAAAGAAGGAGGCAUGGACAUGCAAAUACAGGAACUGUGUCAGUGUCAGCACUGGACUAUUACACCCAGGUGUAAUCAGGUUCCUGGUUACAACUAAUGACCACCUGUUGAAGGAGCUAGACGUUACCAGGGAGAGACACCAGCACAAAGGUGAAUCAGAUUAACUGGAGCUACAAGCAGCUUAAGAAAAACCUUCAGGGACCAGUCUCAAUAUUCUGAUAAUGAUAAUAGUGUGUUAUGUGUUUUAUUGCUAAGAAUUUUGGCUACUCUGUAUCCAAUAUCUAAAGUGGUAUUUUAUUAAGAUUUCGAAAAUAAUAAGGCCAAUCUUAAUAAGAAAUAUUCUGCUGGAACAUAUUGAACUGUUUAUUCAAUCAUGCAGAAAUUUGUUGUUUGCCAUUUGAUCAUUUGGCAUGCUUAAGCUCAACAUAAUAUAAGAGAAAUUGAUUUAUUUCACAUUAUUUUACUUAUCUUGCAAUGAUUUUUCAAGCAUCUUUUUCACACAUCUUGUAGAUUGGUAAGCAGAUAUGUUCUUGCUAGAUUUCAAUGGUGUAGUUUUUUAGUAAAAAUGUCUUGCCUUUCUAUUGUGUUGUGCUGACAUUUAGACAUUAGUUAUAAUUUUUUUGCAGUGAACAGCUUAGGUUAAGUAGACCUGGUACAUGUAUUCAAUCAAAUUGAACCGCGUUCUGGGGAAAUAGGCUUUAUGCAUGUGUGUGAAAUGUCGUCCCAGAUUAGCUUAUGUGGUCCACACAUGCGUAUCUGGAACAACAAUUUCGGCCUAGACUGGAUUUUCUUUUUCAAAAUACUUUCUUUGAACGAAAAAUCUCAUAAAACCAGAAAGUGUCUUCCCUGAUUAGCCUGUGCGGACCGUACAAGUUUAUCUGCGACAACACUCUAGGAACAUGCAUUAAACCCCAUUUUCCCA